GUGAACGCUGGCGGUAGGCCUAACACAUGCAAGUCGGACGGCAGCACAGUAAGAGCUUGCUCUUACGGGUGGCGAGUGGCGGACGGGUGAGGAAUACAUCGGAAUCUACUUUUUCGUGGGGGAUAACGUAGGGAAACUUACGCUAAUACCGCAUACGACCUACGGGUGAAAGCAGGGGAUCUUCGGACCUUGCGCGAUUGAAUGAGCCGAUGUCGGAUUAGCUAGUUGGCGGGGUAAAGGCCCACCAAGGCGACGAUCCGUAGCUGGUCUGAGAGGAUGAUCAGCCACACUGGAACUGAGACACGGUCCAGACUCCUACGGGAGGCAGCAGUGGGGAAUAUUGGACAAUGGGCGCAAGCCUGAUCCAGCCAUACCGCGUGGGUGAAGAAGGCCUUCGGGCUGUAAAGCCCUUUUGUUGGGAAAGAAAAGCAGCAGGUUAAUACCCCGCUGUUCUGACGGUACCCAAAGAAUAAGCACCGGCUAACUUCGUG
rnacentral:rRNA from 1 species